rnacentral:rRNA from 1 species
UACAGGGGGUGCAAACGUUGCUCGGAAUCAUUGGGCGUAAAGCGCACGUAGGCGGUUCGUUAAGUCGGGUGUGAAAUCCCUGGGCUCAACCCAGGAAGUGCACUCGAAACUGGCGAGCUUGAGUACUGAAGAGGGUCGCGGAAUUCCCGGUGUAGAGGUGAAAUUCGUAGAUAUCGGGAGGAACACCAGUGGCGAAGGCGGCGACCUGGGCAGAUACUGACACUGAGGUGCGAAAGCGUGGGGAGCAAACAGG